UACGUAGGGGGCAAGCGUUGUCCGGAUUUAUUGGGCGUAAAGAGCGUGUAGGCGGCCAGGUAGGUCGGUUGUGAAAACUCGGGGCUUAACCCUGAGCUUGCGGUCGAUACGGGCAUGACUGGAGUUCGGCAGGGGAGACUGGAAUUCCUGGUGUAGCGGUGGAAUGCGCAGAUAUCAGGAGGAACACCGGUGGCGAAGGCGGGUCUCUGGGCCGUAACUGACGCUGAGGAGCGAAAGCAUGGGGAGCGAACAGG
rnacentral:rRNA from 1 species